rnacentral:lncRNA from 1 species
CGCGGGGCGGGCGCGCGAGCGGCGCGGCGCGGGGUGGGGUGGCGGAGCAGGAUAUAAGGGGUCGGGGCGGCGGGUGCGGGGGGGAGGCUGGGCCGCGUGUGGGGGAUUGGGGCUGCGGCGAUGGCGGGGCCCGGUGGUGGCGUGAGGAGGGGGCCUCGGGCCUAGUGGGGCCGAGCCGCGCGGUCCCGCCGGAUUCCUCUGAGGCCGGGAGGGCCUGGGAGGCAGCUGAGGGUGGGCCGGUUGCCGGGAGCAGGGCCUGUGAGGGCAGCCCGGGUGCCGCCGGGACCUCCGCGGAGCCUGUGGGCAGCCAGAAAUCACUUAAUAAAAUGGCUGGCAAAACCCAAGCAAUAAGGAAGAUAUCUUCUCUUUGCAGGGUUGUUCAGCAGUCUGCUUCUAAUGCUGCAAAGGGUUAUGUGCAGAGAGAGAAGAGUGACUGGUUCAGGGGACUUGGCCUAAAGUGAAGACAGUUAAAAGAACUUGAAGAUCUGAUCGAGAUAAGAAGCAAGACCUGCCUGCUCCCCUACAAGAGGAAAGCUCCAGACAGAGCCACCGUGGGCAUCAGCUUGCAGAAGUCCUUUGCUUGAAGAUGUGGUCUAGAUGCUACACUGAAUUCCAGCUGAAGAACACAAACUGGCAUGCACAGCAUCAAAAACUUCACAUAAUGGUGAAAACAUCAACAGAAACACAGUAAAAUAAGUUUCCUAGAGCAUAUUAUAACCACAUGACCUGCCAGACUCCAGACAAAGAAAAGGAAACAUUUACUGCUUCAGGUUGCUUCAUUCUGCUGUCCCAGAAAACCUGGGAUCAUUGUGGAAAUGGGAAGAUACAAGCCCUGUAAUUAGAUUUGUUUGUUAGUCUGUAUUUUUAGUAGAAGCACAAAGAGGAGUAAUACAGUGUGUGGUGAGCUUGGCGGCUGUGUAUGUAUUAAGGCUACUUCUCUGCUGAAGAAGAUGUAUCGUAGUUAGAAGUUGUACGAGUUAAUACAGCUCUAAUUGCCCACAGUUGCCACAUUUGAUCUGUGAAAACAAAUAGGAUUUGUCAGUAUCCCCUCUCCUCCCCCUUUUCUCCCCAAAAGCAAUGCAGGAUUGUUUUCCAGCCUCUUGCACGGAGUUGUUGAGGAAUAGCAGCGGAAGAGUGAGCCUGUAGAGUUUGGGAGUGAUGGUCUGUCCUGAAAGGCUGAUUCCCUGAGCCAUCGCACCCAAGAGUGAGAUUCAGAGGGUUUGCUCAGUCUUGUCAUCUCCAGACAGCGUUGCCCACGCUCUCAGUGCCAUUCAACAGACUUUAAAAUAUGCUACUUUAUUACUCAUGGUGAUUCCUAGUUUGGGGAGUUCAUGUGUCUCACACUUCCCCAAGCUUUCUUUUUCCAAACUUCAGAGUUAGAAAUUAAUUUUUUCUUUUUAGAUUAAAGUUCAGAUUCACAAGGAGGCACUUGACUCCAGAAGCUGCAGCUUCAACCAGCAGAUAGGAGAUUCAUGGUAAAUUUGGCAGAAUUGUACUGUUCUAAGCACUUUCGGAGACAUAUGCUGCUUUUCCCAUUCCUGGAAUUAGUCCCACAGAUGUCUCAUGAUUAUUCACUUGAGUCAUGGUUGCAGAAUUGAGUUUUUGGUGGUUUGGAUUCCCAGAUUCCUAUGCUGCGUAUUUACGGUGUUUAAAGUGCAAAUUCUAAUAGAAGACCUGCCUGUUUUAAAACACAAAGGGGUAUGUUUUACAAAAACCCAAUGUUUUGAAUUUGAACUAAAUUGCCUCUUGACUUAUAAUAACGUUUGGUCGGAAUGAGACCUCUCCGAGGACGAAGAGACAAGAAAAUACAAAAAUAAACUGGACAUGGCACACA